rnacentral:rRNA from 1 species
UACGUAGGUCCCAAGCGUUGUUCGGAAUCACUGGGCGUAAAGGGAGCGUAGGCGGCGCGGUAAGUCAGAUGUGAAAUCCCGGGGCUCAACCCCGGAACUGCAUCCGAUACUGCCGUGCUUGAGCAAUGGAGAGGUAGCUGGAAUUAUCGGUGUAGCAGUGAAAUGCGUAGAUAUCGAUAGGAACACUCGUGGCGAAAGCGAGCUACUGGACAUUUGCUGACGCUGAGGCUCGAAGGCUAGGGGAGCGAAAGGG